rnacentral:rRNA from 1 species
UCAGGCCUAACACAUGCAAGUCGAACGAGAUCUUCGGAUCGAGUGGCGGACGGGUGCGUAACGCGUGGGAAUCUGCCCUUAGGUACGGAAUAACAGAUAGAAAUGUCUGCUAAUACCGUAUAAUAUCUCCGGAUCAAAGAUUUAUCGCCUAAGGAUGAGCCCGCGUCAGAUUAGCUAGUUGGUGGGGUAAUGGCCUACCAAGGCAACGAUCUGUAGCUGGUUUGAGAGGAUGAUCAGCCACACUGGGACUGAGACACGGCCCAGACUCCUACGGGAGGCAGCAGUAGGGAAUAUUGGACAAUGGGCGAAAGCCUGAUCCAGCCAUGCCGCGUGAGUGAUGACGGCCCUAGGGUUGUAAAGCUCUUUCAACGGUGACGAUUAUGACGGUAGCCGUAGAAGAAGCCCCGGCUAACUUCGUGCCAGCAGCCGCGGUAAUACGAAGGGGGCAAGCGUUGUUCGGAAUUACUGGGCGUAAAGGGCGCGUAGGCGGCUUGUUAAGUCAGAUGUGAAAUCCCAAGGCUCAACCUUGGAACUGCAUUUGAUACUGGCAAGCUUGAGUAUGAGAGAGGUAAGCAGAAUUCCCAGUGUAGAGGUGAAAUUCGUAGAUAUUGGGAGGAAUACCAGUUGCGAAGGCGGCUUACUGGCUCAUUACUGACGCUGAGGCGCGAAAGCGUGGGGAGCAAACAGGAUUAGAUACCCU